GGAGGCGGCUCUGCUGAUAGCAGCGUCGGCUGAGCGCAGGCGGAUUUUUAGUCUGAUGUGAAGCCUUCGGCUCAACCGAAGAAGUGCAUCGGAACUGGGAAACUUGAGUGCAGAAGAGGACAGUGGAACUCCAUGUGUAGCGGUGAAAUGCGUAGAUAUAUGGAAGAACACCAGUGGCGAAGGCGGCUGUCUGGUCUGUAACUGACGCUGAGGCUCGAAAGUAUGGGUAGCAAACAGGAUUAGAUACCCUGGUAGUCCAUACCGUAAACGAUGAAUGCUAAGUGUUGGAGGGUUUCCGCCCUUCAGUGCUGCAGCUAACGCAUUAAGCAUUCCGCCUGGGGAGUACGGCCGCAAGGCUGAAACUCAAAGGAAUUGACGGGGGCCCGCACAAGCGGUGGAGCAUGUGGUUUAAUUCGAAGCUACGCGAAGAACCUUACCAGGUCUUGACAUACUAUGCAAAUCUAAGAGAUUAGACGUUCCCUUCGGGGACAUGGAUACAGGUGGUGCAUGGUUGUCGUCAGCUCGUGUCGUGAGAUGUUGGGUUAAGUCCCGCAACGAGCGCACCCUUAUAUCAGUUGCCAGCAUUAAGUUGGGCACUCUGGUGAGACUGCCGGUGACAACCGGAGAAGUGGGGAUGACGUCAAUCAUCAUGCCCUUAUGACUGGGCUACACACGUGCUACAUGGAUGUACAACGAGUUGCGACUCGCGAGAGUAAGCUAUCUCUAAAGCAUUCUCAGUCGGAUUGUAGCUGCACUCGCUAAUGAGUCGAUCGCUAGUAUCGCGGAUCAGCAUGCGCGUGAUACUCCCCGGGUACUA
rnacentral:rRNA from 1 species